GUGCAAAGGUAGCGUAAUCACUUGUCUUUUAAAUGAAGACCCGUAUGAAUGGCAUCACGAGGGCUUAGCUGUCUCCCUUUUCCAGUCAAUGAAAUUGACCUCCCCGUGCAGAGGCGGGGAUAAACACAUAAGACGAGAAGACCCUGUGGAGCUUUAGACCUAAAAUAAGCUACGUUUAACAGCCUGUAAAAUCAGAAAUAACUUAGUAGUUUUUAUUGAAGUGUCUUUGGUUGGGGCGACCGAGGGGUAAAACACAACCCCCAUGUGGACCGGGGAUACUAUCCCUAGUACCAAGGGCCUCCCCCCCAAGUAACAGAACUUCUGACCUUAUGAUCCGGCACAGCCGAUUAACGAACCGAGUUACCCCAGGGAUAACAGCGCAAUCCCCUCUAAGAGCCCAUAUCGACGAGGGGGUUUACGACCUCGA
rnacentral:rRNA from 1 species